GCCUGGCUGGCUCUGUCAGUAGAGCAUGUGACUCUUCAUGUCAGAGUCAUGAGUUCAAACCCCAUGUUGGGCA
rnacentral:tRNA from 1 species